GCCUGGCUGGCUCAGCCAGUAGAGCGUAUGACUCCUGAUCUCAGGGUCAUGAGUUCAAACCUCAUGUUAGGCA
rfam:Canis lupus familiaris chromosome 30, whole genome shotgun sequence.